GACGAACGCUGGCGGCGUGCCUAACACAUGCAAGUCGAACGCAGUGGGGACGGGUGAGUAACACGUGGGUAACCUCCCAUCAGAGGGGAUAACACUUGGAAACAGGUGCUAAACCGAUAUUGAUGGUUGGACCCGCGGUGCAUUAGCUAGUUGGUGAGGUAACGGCUCACCAAGGCCACGAUGAAUAGCGGGCCUGAGAGGGUGAUCGGCCACACUGGGACGGAGACACGGCCCAGACUCCUACGGGAGGCAGCAGUGGGGAAUAUUGGGCAAUGGACGAAAGCCUGACCGAGCAACGCCGCGUGAGUGAAGAAGGUUUUCGGAUCGUAAAACACUGUUGUUAGAGAAGCGGUAUCUAAACAGAAAGCCACGGCUAACUACGUGCCAGCAGCCGCGGUAAUAC
rnacentral:rRNA from 1 species